UACGUAGGAGGCAAGCGUUGUCCGGAAUUACUGGGCGUAAAGCGCGUGUAGGUGGUGGGACAAGUCUGCUGUGAAAGCGCCUGGCUUAACCGGGCGAGGUCGGCGGAAACUGUCCGACUCGAGGACGGUAGAGGGGGGUGGAAUUCCCGGUGUAGUGGUGAAAUGCGCAGAUAUCAGGAAGAACACCCGUGGCUAAGGCGGCUCUCUAGUACGGUACUGACGCUGAGACGCGAAAGCGUGGGGAGCGAACAGG
rnacentral:rRNA from 1 species